ACAGAGGGUGCUAGCGUUGUUCGGAAUUACUGGGCGUAAAGGGCGUGUAGGUGGCACGGCAAGUCGGGUGUGAAAUCCCAUGGCUCAACCAUGGAACUGCAUUCGAUACUGCCGAGCUAGAGUUCGGGAGAGGGAGGUGGAAUUCCCAGUGUAGAAGUGAAAUUCGUAGAUAUUGGGAGGAACACCGGCUGCGAAAGCGACCUCCUGGCCCGACACUGACACUCAUACGCGAAAGCGUGGGGAGCAAACAG
rnacentral:rRNA from 1 species